UUGAAAAGGGAAUCAAGGGCUGAUUGUAUGCAUGAACCAAGGAUGAUGAUCCCUUAAGCAUUUCUAACAUCAACGUAGGAGCCAUGUCAACAUGGACACGAGCAUGGAAGGGCAAUGGGUCAACGGUAAAUACGGAAGCUAUGCAUGAACUCGGACGCACGAGGUAUUGCACGGAUUACCGCUACUACUACCGAAGAUAAGCAAGCGUUGAUCGAGUCACGGAGCAAGGGUUGUACGGAAAUAUGUAUUGUCUUGAAGCGUUAA
rnacentral:lncRNA from 1 species